UGCCAGCCGCCGCGGUAAUACGGAGGAAGUUAGCGUUGUUCGGAAUUACUGGGCGUAAAGCGUACGUAGGCGGAUCAGAAAGUAUAGGGUGAAAUCCCGGGGCUCAACCCCGGAACUGCCUUGUAAACUCCUGAUCUUGAGUUCGAGAGAGGUGAGUGGAAUUCCAAAUGUAGAGGAGAAAUUCAUAAAUAUUCGGAGGAACACCAGUGGCGAAAGCGGCUCACUGGCUCGAUACUGACACUGAGGUACGAAAGUGUGGGGAGCAAGCAGGAUUAGAUA
rnacentral:rRNA from 1 species